CAGUCGCCGCGGUAAUACGUAGGUCCCGAGCGUUGUCCGGAUUUAUUGGGCGUAAAGCGAGCGCAGGCGGUUAGAUAAGUCUGAAGUUAAAGGCUGUGGCUUAACCAUAGUACGCUUUGGAAACUGUUUAACUUGAGUGCAAGAGAGGAGAGUGGAAUUCCAUGUGUAGCGGUGAAAUGCGUAGAUAUAUGGAGGAACACCGGUGGCGAAAGCGGCUCUCUGGCUUGUAACUGACGCUGAGGCUCGAAAGCGUGGGGAGCAAACAGGAUUAGAUACCCCAGUAGUCCCUGUCUCUUAUACA
rnacentral:rRNA from 1 species